UUUACCAAUGUUACACACCCUAUUAGGAGACCUUAGGGAACAGUGUGACAUACCCUAUAUAAUCCUUCCAUCACCCCUUUAAUAUACAACAUGAUUUAAAU